rnacentral:rRNA from 1 species
UCUUUGACCUGAAAUCAGUCCAGGGUACCCCCUGGAUUUAAACAUAUUAAUAAGGGGAGGAAAAGAAACUAACUAGGAUUCCCUCAGUAGUGGCGAACGAACAGGGAUCAGCUCAUCCUUUUAGGCUCACUCGUUUACGGGUGCGCGAUGCGGGGUGUAGAACGGUUUCCUCAUUCUGACUUGGCAUAAGUGGCUUGGAACAGCCUACCAUAGAAGGUGAUAGUCCUGUGUGCUGUCAAAGUCUAGAGUGAAUACGGGAUCGUCUCAUAGAGUCGGGUUGCUUGGGAUCGCAGCCUUAAUGUGGGUGGUAAACUUCAUCCAAAGCUAAAUACUGUGCACCAGACCGAUAGCGAACAAGUACCGUGAGGGAAAGGUGAAAAGGAUUUUGAAAAGAAAGUCAAAUAGAACCUGAAACCGCUGGAAGAAUAACGCUAAGCUCGUGCGCUCACCGCCGUGGCCCUUGAGGUCACGGUCGAGCAGCGCCUGCUUUGACGGAUUGGAACCUGUGAUCGUGCCUUUUCGGAGGUGGGUUACAGUGGAAUGUCUGUCGGGGCAGAGGAACUGAUAGUUUGUAUGAUGCUAGUCAAGUAUGGUGGAUUUUGCGUUAGACUGAAAAGUGUAGCGUGGGGUUCGCUGUAUGGUUGCUAGCUAGUGCAGACACAGGCGCUGUUGUCGCGAGCCUAGUACCCGUCUCGAAACACGGACCAAGGAGUUAUACUCAUCUGCGAGUCGAAGGGUGUAAAACCCAAGGGCGUAAUGAAAGUGAGUGGUGCCAAGCCGCAAGGCUGCAGCAUCGGCCGCUAGCUGAUACACAUGUUGACGCUUGUGAGUUUGAGCAGAUGGGUGUAGACCCGAUAGCCUGUGAUCUUCGCCUGGGCAGAAUGAAGUCAGGGGAAACUCUGAUGGAAGUUCGAAGGGGUUCUGACGUGCAAAUCGAUCCUCAGACCUGGGUGAAGGAGUGAAAUGCUCAUCGAACAGGCUAGUAGCUGGUUCCCACCGAAAUUUCCCUCAGGAUAGCAGUCGCCAAUAUGCAGUUACACCAGAUAGAGAAAUGUUUAGAGCUUUUGGGGAAGCAACUUCCUCGGGCUAUUCGCAAACUUCUAAUGGGUGUGAACCGACUUUGUGCUUAAUUGACAUGUCGGAUUGAAUGCAUGGCGGCUAGUGGGCCAUUGCUGGUAAGCAGCUAUGGCGAUUCGGGAUCGAACCGAUUGUUGAGCUAAGGUGCCUAAGUGCAGGGUUACAGAUACCAUAAAGCGUGUUGUCUGAUAUAGACAGUUGGGAUGUGGCCAUGGAAGUCGGAAACGUCUAAGGAGUGUGUAACAACUCACCAACCGAAUCAGGCAGUCGCGAAAAUGGAUGGCGCUACCCUGUCACCGAUACUCAACUGGCAGAGCAUUGGCUUUGUCAAGUAGGUGGGCGUGGAGGUUGCUUUGAAGCGGACUCCGAAGGGAGCUGUGGAGCGUCCUCUAGUGCAGAUCUUGGUGGUAGUAGCAAAUACCUAGGUGAAAGCCCUAGGGGCCGAAGUGGAGAAGGGUUCCUCAACAACUGUGUUUGGUUGAGGGUGAGUCGGUCCUAAGAGAUACGGGAACUCGGUUCUGAAGGGGCAAUUGCCCCGUGUAUCGAAAGGGAAGCAGGUUAAUAUUCCUGCACUCACACACGGGUUCGAGCGGUAACGCAAACGAUCCCGAUGACGCUAGCGGUAGGCCGAGCAAGAAUUGUCUUGUCUUGUUAACGAUCAAAUGUCCACGGAAUCGGGUUAACCGGAGAGGUGGAUAGACGAUCGGGAAGAGCAUCGCACUUUUGUGAUGUCUCGAGCCCUGCCGAUAGCCCCUGAAAAGUCGGGGGAGUAAUAACGCGUGUGUGAGCCGUACCCAUAUCCGCAGCAGGUCUCCUGGGUUAGAAACCUAUGGCCAUGUGGAACAACGUAGGCAAGGGAAGUCGGCAAAAUAGUUCCGUAACUUCGGGAUAAGGAAUGGCUCUUACAGUGCGUUAGGAGAGGCUCGGUAGAAAUGGCCUGGACUGUCUUGGGACUAUCUGAAGCUUCGGCGACGGAAUGGAUCCAGGAUGGACCGGAAUCCAGUCAACUGGGAUAAGGAGGGUGGUGUCUGCGUGCAGGCGCUAUUCUCUGCUCUCUUAUAUUUAAGCACUAAGUAAGAACUGGCACGAACAAGGGGAACCCAACUGUUUAUUUAAAACAUAGCAUUGCGAUAGUCCCAACGGAUGUUGACGCGAUGUGAUUUCUGCCCAGUGCUCUGAAUGUCAAGUUGAAGAGAUUCAAUUAAGCGCGGGUAAACGGCGGGAGUAACUAUGACUCUCUUAAGGUAGCCAAAUGCCUCGUCAUCUAAUUAGUGACGUGCAUGAAUGGAUCAAUGAGGUUCCUACUGUCCCUGCCUACAUUCCAGCGAACCCACAGCCUUGGGAACGGGCAAGGGUGCAACACCGGGGCAAGAAGACCCUGUUGAGCUUGACUCUAGUCUGCUGUUGCGGAGGGAUCUGGGAGGUGUAGCGUAAGCGGGAGGCUCCGGCCGACAAUGAAACACCGCUACUCCUAGUAUCCCUCUGCUUACCUAGUUGGAUAGAAACGGUUAACCCCGUCUUUAAGCAAUAAGCUUUGCGAUCUAAGCUAGGGACAUCAGCAGGUGGGGAGUUUGACUGGGGCGGUACACGGAUGAAAAAAUAGCGUCCGUGUCCUAAAGUGAGCUCAGAAAGGACAGAAACCUUUCGUAGACCAAAAGGGGAAAAGCUCGCCUGAUUGGGACCUUCAGUAGUGGUACCAACCGAGAAAUCGUGGCCUAUCGAGCCUUUUGCUUUUCAAAGUUUUAAGCUAGAGGUGUCAGAAAAGUUACCACAGGGAUAACUGGCUUGUGGCAGCCAAGCGUUCAUAGCGACGUUGCUUUUUGAUUCUUCGAUGUCGGCUCUUCCUAUCAUUGCGUUGCAGAAAGCGCAAAGUGUCGGAUUGUUCACCCGGUAACAGGGAACGUGAGCUGGGUUUAGACCGUCGUGAGACAGGUUAGUUUUACCCUAGUGUUGCUAGUGUGGUGAGAGAAGCGCGACCAAGUACGAGAGGAACCGUCGUGCAGUGCUUCUGGUAUGGCAAUUGUUCGAAAGGACAGUGUUGCGACGCUACGCACUCAGGUUUACAGCUGAACGCCUCUAAGUUGGAAACCACCCUCGAGC